UACGAAGGGGGCUAGCGUUGCUCGGAAUCACUGGGCGUAAAGCGCACGUAGGCGGCUUGUUAAGUCAGGGGUGAAAUCCUGGAGCUCAACUCCAGAACUGCCUUUGAUACUGGCGAGCUUGAGUCCGGGAGAGGUGAGUGGAACUGCGAGUGUAGAGGUGAAAUUCGUAGAUAUUCGCAAGAACACCAGUGGCGAAGGCGGCUCACUGAACAGGUCCUGACACUGAGACGCGAAAGCGUGGGUAGCAAACAGG
rnacentral:rRNA from 1 species